AUCCCUUGGAAUCAAUAUCUAACAUCGUCUCAUUAUAGAUCUUGGGAUCAUUCCUAAUGUCUCUAUCUCCCAUAUGGAACACUUCCUCUAGAUCCUCUAUAAGAAUACUAAAGUACUUUUUAGGAGGAUGGGAGACCUUACUUAAUUUACGAGAUGGAGGAGGUACCAUAUAUACUAGCUCACUAUUGGGUUUAGAAUUUUGGACUCG
rnacentral:lncRNA from 1 species